CGUGUGAAAGUGAAAGUUUCCAUUUGAAAAACCCGCUGAUGAGGUAAAAGUUUGACGGUCGGUUUAUUUUUCAGCGGCGGCAGGGUGCGGAUGUCGAUCGUCUGAAGAGGGGCUCGAGCGGUGAAAGGGUUGAUUGAUGCUGACUCGACUGCUUUUAUCGCCACUUAUACGAUACUGAAAGUGGCCAUCACCGUUCGAAUCAAAACAUUUUCUACCGAUGUUGGAUUACGUCUGUGCAAUCGGCAGGAGUGACUUCACUCACCAUCAAAUUACAAAACUUCUAAUCUCUGCUACAUUCUGCUACAAAAGUCUUCGUAUCACAGGUAUAUAAAUAGUAUUUUUAAACUUAAAUUCCAAUCCCGACAUAAUUUCACAACUCUCGAAGUUAUCAUUUAUUCCUCUGUCUUUUACUAUUACCAAUUAAUAGUUUCAAGUAGAUUGAAAUUUCCCAAAAUUGAUAUCCACCUAUGUAACUCAUUAUUAUUUAACCAUCUAAACCUUAAACUUCCUAUUAAAAAUCAAAUUAUCAGACUGUGUUGAUAAUAUUUAUGGGAAUUUAUAUUUUCAUAAAAAUAAUUCAAGAAAUGGAAUCUAAGCAGUGAUUUAUCUCAAUUAUGAAAUAUUACAAUAUUAUUAUAUUUUUCAUAUUUUAUAUAUGUUUGCGUAUUAUAUGCCUUCCAUUACACUUAAAAAUUCACAGUCUGUUAAUUAUUAACUAAUUAACAAGACAUGUAAAUCUUCCUGUAUUUGUACUUCAUACGUAACAUAUUUUCUUAUUAUCUGCUCCCCAUUUGCCCGUGCAACAUGCCGCGAAUCGUAUUUUCUCGAGUAUUGGAAUUGGCGUGUGUAUGUCGUUCACAUGAGUUCCAU